AUUAGUGGCCAUAGCAAAGGGGAUCACCUGAUACCAUUCCGAACUCAGUAGUUAAGCCCUUUAGCGCCGAAGAUACCAGAGAUGGGAAAAUAGGGAGUCUGCUUUUU
rnacentral:rRNA from 1 species